UCCUGUAGAAUGUAGUUCUUUGUUUAAUCAUAGACUGAAAAACCUAACAGAGUGAAAGGUUACAAGAACUCCUGUAUGAAGAAAACACCGUAAGCGAAUUAAAUAACUCCACAUGCUCCACUUGGGGUUGCACGAGAAACCAUCCAUCCAGCGAAAAUUUCCCAUUCCGUCUUGAUGUCGAGAUUCACUGCCAAUAAAUUAUAGUUCACUGGUGAACGGCUGUAGAAGACAUGUGCAUGAAAUGAACAGCGCAAGCAUGCACUCAAUUCCGAUGAAACUAAAGGGUUAUGAAAAGCCUUAGGUUGACGAUCUAUUCGAGUUUGGUCUUCAACCGAAUUAAAAUACUCCACACGCUCGACUGUCAAUAUUUGAUUUAGUAUCUUUUCUUCAGAUGCCGUUGGAGAUCUGAAUCACUGCCAUUCAGGACCAUCAAUGACGCACAGACCAGUGGGAAGUGAUUCGUCA
rnacentral:lncRNA from 1 species